rnacentral:rRNA from 1 species
UUGAACGCUGGCGGCAGGCCUAACACAUGCAAGUCGAACGGUAACAGGAAGCAGCUUGCUGCUUCGCUGACGAGUGGCGGACGGGUGAGUAAUGUCUGGGAAACUGCCUGAUGGAGGGGGAUAACUACUGGAAACGGUAGCUAAUACCGCAUAACGUCGCAAGACCAAAGAGGGGGACCUUCGGGCCUCUUGCCAUCGGAUGUGCCCAGAUGGGAUUAGCUAGUAGGUGGGGUAACGGCUCACCUAGGCGACGAUCCCUAGCUGGUCUGAGAGGAUGACCAGCCACACUGGAACUGAGACACGGUCCAGACUCCUACGGGAGGCAGCAGUGGGGAAUAUUGCACAAUGGGCGCAAGCCUGAUGCAGCCAUGCCGCGUGUAUGAAGAAGGCCUUCGGGUUGUAAAGUACUUUCAGCGGGGAGGAAGGGAGUAAAGUUAAUACCUUUACUCAUUGACGUUACCCGCAGAAGAAGCACCGGCUAACUCCGUGCCAGCAGCCGCGGUAAUACGGUGGGUGCAAGCGUUAAUCGGAAUUACUGGGCGUAAAGCGCACGCAGGCGGUUUGUUAAGUCAGAUGUGAAAUCCCCGGGCUCAACCUGGGAACUGCAUCUGAUACUGGCAAGCUUGAGUCUCGUAGAGGGGGGUAGAAUUCCAGGUGUAGCGGUGAAAUGCGUAGAGAUCUGGAGGAAUACCGGUGGCGAAGGCGGCCCCCUGGACGAAGACUGACGCUCAGGUGCGAAAGCGUGGGGAGCAAACAGGAUUAGAUACCCUGGUAGUCCACGCCGUAAACGAUGUCGACUUGGAGGUUGUGCCCUUGAGGCGUGGCUUCCGGAGCUAACGCGUUAAGUCGACCGCCUGGGGAGUACGGCCGCAAGGUUAAAACUCAAAUGAAUUGACGGGGGCCCGCACAAGCGGUGGAGCAUGUGGUUUAAUUCGAUGCAACGCGAAGAACCUUACCUGGUCUUGACAUCCACGGAAGUUUUCAGAGAUGAGAAUGUGCCUUCGGGAACCGUGAGACAGGUGCUGCAUGGCUGUCGUCAGCUCGUGUUGUGAAAUGUUGGGUUAAGUCCCGCAACGAGCGCAACCCUUAUCCUUUGUUGCCAGCGGUCCGGCCGGGAACUCAAAGGAGACUGCCAGUGAUAAACUGGAGGAAGGUGGGGAUGACGUCAAGUCAUCAUGGCCCUUACGACCAGGGCUACACACGUGCUACAAUGGCGCAUACAAAGAGAAGCGACCUCGCGAGAGCAAGCGGACCUCAUAAAGUGCGUCGUAGUCCGGAUUGGAGUCUGCAACUCGACUCCAUGAAGUCGGAAUCGCUAGUAAUCGUGGAUCAGAAUGCCACGGUGAAUACGUUCCCGGGCCUUGUACACACCGCCCGUCACACCAUGGGAGUGGGUUGCAAAAGAAGUAGGUAGCUUAACCUUCGGGAGGGCGCUUACCACUUUGUGAUUCAUGACUGGGGUG